rnacentral:rRNA from 1 species
AGAGUUUGAUCCUGGCUCAGAGCGAACGCUGGCGGCAGGCUUAACACAUGCAAGUCGAGCGGGCGUAGCAAUACGUCAGCGGCAGACGGGUGAGUAACGCGUGGGAACAUACCUUUUGGUUCGGAACAACACAGGGAAACUUGUGCUAAUACCGGAUAAGCCCUUACGGGGAAAGAUUUAUCGCCGAAAGAUUGGCCCGCGUCUGAUUAGCUAGUUGGUGAGGUAACGGCUCACCAAGGCGACGAUCAGUAGCUGGUCUGAGAGGAUGAUCAGCCACAUUGGGACUGAGACACGGCCCAAACUCCUACGGGAGGCAGCAGUGGGGAAUAUUGGACAAUGGGCGCAAGCCUGAUCCAGCCAUGCCGCGUGAGUGAUGAAGGCCCUCGGGUUGUAAAGCUCUUUUGUCCGGAACGAAACGGUGAACGUGAAUAUCGUUCGCUACUGACGGUACCGGAAGAAUAAGCACCGGCUAACUACGUGCCAGCAGCCGCGGUAAUACGUAGGGUGCGAGCGUUAAUCGGAAUUACUGGGCGUAAAGCGUGCGCAGGC